GUCCAGACUCCUACGGGAGGCAGCAGUGAGGAAUAUUGGUCAAUGGACGCAAGUCUGAACCAGCCAUGCCGCGUGCAGGAUGACGGCUCUAUGAGUUGUAAACUGCUUUUGUACGAGGGUAAACCCCGAUACGUGUAUCGGGUUGAAAGUAUCGUACGAAUAAGGAUCGGCUAACUCCGUGCCAGCAGCCGCGGUAAUACGGAGGAUCCGAGCGUUAUCCGGAUUUAUUGGGUUUAAAGGGUGCGUAGGCGGAAUAUCAAGUCAGCGGUAAAAAUUCGGGGCUCAACCCCGUCGAGCCGUUGAAACUGAUGUUCUUGAGUGGGCGAGAAGUAUGCGGAAUGCGUGGUGUAGCGGUGAAAUGCAUAGAUAUCACGCAGAACUCCGAUUGCGAAGGCAGCUUACUAAACUGCCACUGACAUUGAUGCUCGAAAGUGUGGGUAUCAAACAGGAUUAGAUACCCGGGUAUA
rnacentral:rRNA from 1 species